AUUGAACGCUGGCGGCAGGCCUAACACAUGCAAGUCGAGCGGGGUUUUCGGACCUAGCGGCGGACGGGUGAGUAAUGCGUAGGAAGCUACCCGAUAGAGGGGGAUACCAGCUGGAAACGACUGUUAAUACCGCAUAAUGUCUACGGACCAAAGUGUGGGACCUUCGGGCCACAUGCUAUCGGAUGUGCCUACGUGGGAUUAGCUAGUUGGUGAGGUAGUGGCUCACCAAGGCGACGAUCCCUAGCUGGUUUGAGAGGAUGAUCAGCCACACUGGAACUGAGACACGGACCAGACUCCUACCGGAGGCAGCAGUAGGGAAUAUUGCACAAUGGGCUCAAGCUUGAUCCAGCCAUGCCGCGUGUGUGAAGAAGGCCUUCGGGUUGUAAAGCACUUUCAGUAAGGAGGAAGCGUUGAAUGUUAAUAGUACACAGCGUUGACGUUACUUACAGAAGAAGCACCGGCUAACUCUGUGCCAGCCGCCGCGGUAAUAC
rnacentral:rRNA from 1 species